UACGUAGGGGGCAAGCGUUAUCCGGAUUUACUGGGUGUAAAGGGAGCGUAGACGGUAAUGUAAGUCUGAUGUGAAAGCCCGCGGCCCAACCGCGGGACUGCAUUGGGAACUACCGGGCUGGAGUGCCGGAGAGGCAGGCGGAAUUCCUAGUGUAGCGGUGAAAUGCGUAGAUAUUAGGAGGAACACCAGUGGCGAAGGCGGCCUGCUGGACGAUGACUGACGUUGAGGCUCGAAAGCGUGGGGAGCAAACAGG
rnacentral:rRNA from 1 species